rnacentral:rRNA from 1 species
GAGUUUGAUCCUGGCUCAGAUUGAACGCUGGCGUUUUGCCUUACACAUGCAAGUCGAACGGCAGCACGGGUGCUUGCACCUGGUGGCGAGUGGCGAACGGGUGAGUAAUACAUCGGAACAUGUCCUGUAGUGGGGGAUAGCCCGGCGAAAGCCGGAUUAAUACCGCAUACGAUCUACGAAUGAAAGCGGGGGACCUACGGGCCUCGCGCUAUAGGGUUGGCCGAUGGCUGAUUAGCUAGUUGGUGGGGUAAAGGCCUACCAAGGCGACGAUCAGUAGCUGGUCUGAGAGGACGACCAGCCACACUGGGACUGAGACACGGCCCAGACUCCUACGGGAGGCAGCAGUGGGGAAUUUUGGACAAUGGGCGAAAGCCUGAUCCAGCAAUGCCGCGUGUGUGAAGAAGGCCUUCGGGUUGUAAAGCACUUUUGUCCGGAAAGAAAUCCUUGGCUCUAAUACAGUCGGGGGAUGACGGUACCGGAAGAAUAAGCACCGGCUAACUACGUGCCAGCAGCCGCGGUAAUACGUAGGGUGCGAGCGUUAAUCGGAAUUACUGGGCGUAAAGCGUGCGCAGGCGGUUUGCUAAGACCGAUGUGAAAUCCCCGGGCUCAACCUGGGAACUGCAUUGGUGACUGGCAGGCUAGAGUAUGGCAGAAGGGGGUAGAAUUCCACGUGUAGCAGUGAAAUGCGUAGAGAUGUGGGAGGAAUACCGAUGGCGAAGGCCAGCCCCCUGGGCCAAUACUGACGCUCAUGCACGAAAGCGUGGGGAGCAAACAGGGUUUAGAUACCCUGGUAGUCCACGCCCUAAACGAUGUCAAUUAGUUGUUGGGGGAUUCAUUUCCCUUAGUAACGUAGCUAACGCGUGAAGUUGACCGCCUGGGGAGUACGGUCGCAAGAUUAAAACUCAAAGGAAUUGACGGGGACCCGCACAAGCGGUGGAUGAUGUGGAUUAAUUCGAUGCAACGCGAAAAACCUUACCUACCCUUGACAUGGUCGGAAUCCCGCUGAGAGGUGGGAGUGCUCGAAAGAGAACCGGCGCACAGGUGCUGCAUGGCUGUCGUCAGCUCGUGUCGUGAGAUGUUGGGUUAAGUCCCGCAACGAGCGCAACCCUUGUCCUUAGUUGCUACGCAAGAGCACUCUAAGGAGACUGCCGGUGACAAACCGGAGGAAGGUGGGGAUGACAACAAAUCCUCAUGGCCCUUAUGGGUAGGGCUUCACACGUCAUACAAUGGUCGGAACAGAGGGUUGCCAACCCGCGAGGGGGAGCUAAUCCCAGAAAACCGAUCGUAGUCCGGAUUGCACUCUGCAACUCGAGUGCAUGAAGCUGGAAUCGCUAGUAAUCGCGGAUCAGCAUGCCGCGGUGAAUACGUUCCCGGGUCUUGUACACACCGCCCGUCACNCCAUGGGAGUGGGUUUUCCCAGAAGUGGCUUGUCU